GAUGAACGCUGGCGGCGUGCCUAAUACAUGCAAGUCGAGCGAACAGACGAGGAGCUUGCUCCUCUGACGUUAGCGGCGGACGGGUGAGUAACACGUGGAUAACCUACCUAUAAGACUGGGAUAACUUCGGGAAACCGGAGCUAAUACCGGAUAAUAUAUUGAACCGCAUGGUUCAAUAGUGAAAGACGGUUUUGCUGUCACUUAUAGAUGGAUCCGCGCCGCAUUAGCUAGUUGGUAAGGUAACGGCUUACCAAGGCAACGAUGCGUAGCCGACCUGAGAGGGUGAUCGGACACACUGGAACUGAGACACGGUCCAGACUCCUACGGGAGGCAGCAGUAGGGAAUCUUCCGCAAUGGGCGAAAGCUUGACGGAGCAACGCCGCGUGAGUGAUGAAGGUCUUCGGAUCGUAAAACUCUGUUAUUAGGGAAGAACAAAUGUGUAAGUAACUAUGCACGUCUUGACGGUACCUAAUCAGAAAGCCACGGCUAACUACGUG
rnacentral:rRNA from 1 species